GGGGUUGUGGCUCAGUGGUAGAGCACUUGCCUUGCAUGUAUGAGACCCUGCAUUCAAUCCUCAGCACCA
rnacentral:tRNA from 1 species